AUUGAACGCUGGCGGCAGGCCUAACACAUGCAAGUCGAACGAGUGGCGGACGGGUGCGUAAUGUCUGGGAAACUGCCCGAUGGAGGGGGAUAACUACUGGAAACGGUAGCUAAUACCGCAUACCAUCGGAUGUGCCCAGAUGGGAUUAGCGAGAAGGUGGGGUAACGGCUCACCUAGGCGACGAUACCUAGCUGGUCUGAGAGGAUGACCAGCACCCCUGGAACUGAGACACGGUCCAGACUCUGACGGUAGGGCACAGUGGGGAAUAUUGCACAAUGGGCGCAAGCCUGAUGCAGCCAUGCCGCGUGUAUGAAGCAGGCCUUCGGUUUGUAAAGUACUGUCAGCGAGGAGGCGUUACUCGCAGAGGAAGCACCGGCUAACUCCGUGCCAGCAGCCGCGGUAAUUC
rnacentral:rRNA from 1 species